rnacentral:rRNA from 3 species
GUGAACCUUUACUAUAGCUUGACACUGAACAUUGAGCCUUGAUGUGUAGGAUAGGUGGGAGGCUUUGAAGUGUGGACGCCAGUCUGCAUGGAGCCGACCUUGAAAUACCACCCUUUAAUGUUUGAUGUUCUAACGUGGACCCGUUACCCGGGUUGCGGACAGUGUCUGGUGGGUAGUUUGACUGGGGCGGUCUCCUCCUAAAGAGUAACGGAGGAGCACGAAGGUUGGCUAAUCCUGGUCGGACAUCAGGAGGUUAGUGCAAUGGCAUAAGCCAGCUUGACUGCGAGCGUGACGGCGCGAGCAGGUGCGAAAGCAGGUCAUAGUGAUCCGGUGGUUCUGAAUGGAAGGGCCAUCGCUCAACGGAUAAAAGGUACUCCGGGGAUAACAGGCUGAUACCGCCCAAGAGUUCAUAUCGACGGCGGUGUUUGGCACCUCGAUGUCGGCUCAUCACAUCCUGGGGCUGAAGUAGGUCCCAAGGGUAUGGCUGUUCGCCAUUUAAAGUGGUACGCGAGCUGGGUUUAGAACGUCGUGAGACAGUUCGGUCCCUAUCUGCCGUGGGCGCUGGAGAACUGAGGGGGGCUGCUCCUAGUACGAGAGGACCGGAGUGGACGCAUCACUGGUGUUCGGGUUGUCAUGCCAAUGGCACUGCCCGGUAGCUAAAUGCGGAAGAGAUAAGUGCUGAAAGCAUCUAAGCACGAAACUUGCCCCGAG